rnacentral:rRNA from 1 species
UACGUAGGGUGCAAGCGUUAAUCGGAAUUACUGGGCGUAAAGCGUGCGCAGGCGGGUUGUUAAGUCAGGGGUGAAAUCCCGGAGCUCAACUCCGGAACUGCCUUUGAUACUGGCAACCUAGAGGCUGGAAGAGGUUAGUGGAAUUCCCAGUGUAGAGGUGAAAUUCGUAGAUAUUGGGAAGAACACCAGUGGCGAAGGCGGCUAACUGGUCCAGUACUGACGCUGAGGUGCGAAAGCGUGGGGAGCAAACAGG